rnacentral:rRNA from 1 species
GCCAAUGUCCAUACCAUGUUGAAUACAUCGGUUCUCGUCCGAUCACCGAAGUCAAGCAACAUCGGGCGUGGUCAGUACUUGGAUGGGUGAC